rnacentral:ncRNA from 2 species
CACUAUGUUGUGUCUGUCGGUUCCGGUGGCCCAAGGCCACCGGAUUAAAAGGGAAGUCCGGUGGGCCGCAAGGCGAAUCCGGCACUGCCCCGCAGCGGUAACCGGAAACGAACCCGCGUCAAUGCACUGGGCCACGGGCCUGGGAAGCAGCGGCAGUAGGCGAGGCCAGGCCUCACGUCCGGAAGUCCGAAGACCUGCCGACAGCCGCGCGAAGCA